CUUUGACCCGGUCGAAAGGCUCUCAAAUGGAAAUCAGCCAAGAAGCAGCCGAUCAACGAAGCGAAGAAGAAGCCCUCCUCAUUCAGAAACAACGAAGAAGAAGGAGAACGAGAUUAAUUGUGAAAAUUUUAUUUUGGUUUCAACUCACUUGGUAAGUACUUCAUUGUCAAAAAUAUGUAAGAAUAAAUACUUUUUUUUUUUUUCUAAUGGUUUUGGUAUGCCUCAAGUUUCUUAUAGAUUUGAUUCAGGCAUUUUCUUCCGAAAAGAAUACCCUGUUGUGGUUGCAAAGGACACAUAGUUUUUCCAACUGCUGAUUUUGGUAUGUGGCCCCUUUAUCUUAUACUUGCAUAUAGCUUCUUUAUGUACUGCCCGUUUGUUUAGGAGAUGCGAAGUGUUAUUCUUUUUUGCUAAAUGUGAUCUUUGUAAUUUGUAUGAUUGAUGUUGUUGUUGACAAUUGUAGGAAGCUGGAUGUGUUAUUUUUUAUGAUUGAAGGUGCUGUUGUUGUGUUUUUUUGACCUGUUAGGAAUGGUCUCUUGUUUUACUUUCACAAAAUGUUACUCUGGUUCUUUGUAUCAUUUUUUUAUACUUGGGAUAACAUACAAGCUCAUAUAAUGCUAAAUUCAAUUGAAAAUUCAGCAUGGUACAAUGAUGCCAUUAAUGGAACCAUGUCUGGCUGUAAUGCUAAUGCACAUGUUAUAACUAACAAUUGAGUGCUUAGAAGGAUUCUGUGUUUAUUAUCCUUUCUAAAAUGUAUACUAUUGGUCAUGUUGUUAAGAUCAAAGUUGAUUGUGUUUAGGAUUUGACAAGUCUGGAAAAUUAUUCAGUAAUUAGUAUUUAUCAUAAAGUUUGAGACCAAACGGCUUUUAUAUCAUUUAGACAAAGUGAUAUUUAUAUGCUAAUAGAGGAGCCUAUCUAGGCCAUUAAUAUAACAUCUACCAUGUAGUAGUUGGGUUUCGUGGUUAGUGGAACCAAACUAGGCCACUGGGUUUUGUAACAUCUACCUUUGUAGUUGGGUUUUGUGGAGAUGACUCAAGCAACCAAGAAUAAGAUUUGUCUAUUGUCAUUUUGAGGAACAAGGAUUGCUGUUGCUGCCUUUUUUUUUUUUCCUGUUUUUUAUUACCUUUGAAAAAUGGAUUUAUGUUUUCAAAUGUUGAAAAAUGGAAUGAUGUUAAAAACCAAUUUCUUAAUUUAAUUGUGAAUUUCUUUAUGUUUGGAGGAUACCAUUUGUUUCUACCAAGUCCAGCUGGUACAGAGUUGCAAAUUGGAGGCAUCAGUUUGUUCUAGGUAAUAGAAUUAUGGUAAAAAAUCAACAUGGCUCUAGAAAUGUGAGAAGCCCGAUUAUGCCAUUUUUUUGCUUCUUGAAAAAGUGAUCUAAAGUCAAAUCAUCAACCAAAUUUUGUCCCUUUUUAUGAUCUUUCUGCAGGAUGGAGUACAUAUACGACAUCAAUGAUCGAUGUGAUGCGAAGGUCACGGCACAUUCUAAAGUGUCAAGUGUGGAGAAAGUAUAUGAUGCAUUUGAUGAUGUUCAUAAGGAGAUGUUCUUGAAUUCAUGCUUCGGUAAAUUAUACAUUAGAAAUAUGAAAAUAUCUGCCCAACUAAUUUGCAACUUGUUAUUACGACUAAUUGUCUCUGUGAACGAGGAUGAACUAUGAUUUUGUUUAAUAUUGGAAAAAGUUGUCCGUUUCCUUUUGUACGAGUUUACGUUCGUUACAGGGUUAAGUCUUAUUAAUGAGGAGGAGUAUCAG
rnacentral:lncRNA from 1 species